rnacentral:lncRNA from 1 species
AGACAUUUUACCUAAUUUGGCUAUUUAUUUAACACAAGCACUCUUCAGUUUGUCUUCAUGGGACUACAUUUUAAUGAUUCACUGUCCUAGUAAAGUGUCAUGUUAAUUUUAUUUUCAGUGGAUCCAGGAGCUGGUCUGCUGUUUCAACAAGGUAGCCAUUUCUAAGCAAUAAAAAACCCCAAAAACCCAGAAGACAAAAAUACCCCUCCACAAACAUAGAGAAAUACUGUGGUAUUAUGGUCAUCAGAGCAUGUGUGGCACUGCCCACAAGUCCUUGGUGGGUUCUGGAGCUGUCCAAGGUUCCAAAGUUCCAGGGAGGGAGCCUGCAGCAGUCAGAGGGCUCUGGGCUCUGCUCAACUCAGUACUGUGAGGAGCAUAAGGACAUCAUGACAUUUGGACUAACAUCCUACAGAAUUGUAGAGAAGGUCAAAUAUAAAACUCAAGCAAGGGAUCCCUGGGUGGCGCAGCGGUUUGGCGCAUGCCUUUGGCCCAGGGUGCAACCCAGGAGACCCGGGAUCGAAUCCCCUGUCGGGCUCCCGGUGCAUGGAGUCUGCUUCUCCCUCUGCCUAUGUCUCUGACUCUCUCUCUCUCUGUGUGACUAUCAUAAAUAAAUAAAAAUUAAGAAAAAAAUUAAAAAAAAAU